rnacentral:rRNA from 1 species
UACGUAGGGUGCGAGCGUUAAUCGGAAUUACUGGGCGUAAAGCGUGCGCAGGCGGUUCGUUGUGUCUGAUGUGAAAGCCCCGGGCUUAACCUGGGAAUGGCAUUGGAAACUGGCGAGCUGGAGUGUGGCAGAGGGGGGUGGAAUUCCGCGUGUAGCAGUGAAAUGCGUAGAGAUGCGGAGGAACACCAAUGGCAAAGGCAGCCCCCUGGGCCAACACUGACGCUCAGGCACGAAAGCGUGGGGAGCAAACAGG